UGGCAUUUCUACGUUAAUAUGUUUUUGUUACAGAGCCUCAAGAAGAAAAAUAUACCCUGCAUUUAUCACCUGCAACAGUUUCUACGAUUUUCUUUUCAAUCUGUACACGGCGUUCGAUAUAUGCUUCCGUAUCCGGUCAGCUGUAAUGGAUGCCGUAUGCCGAGCUCUCUAACUGCGAACUUGUGUGACUCCCGGUUCAUCCUCUUUGUUCGGGUCAUUGGGUUGGUGUUGGAGUUGGUCACCAUAUUCUGAACGUUUCACCUAUCGUUGCGGUGUACUGUUCUUGAUCUGCUGCGAAGCGACGAACCGCAACGGCAGUCACUCGCCUCAGCGAACUUCUGUCUGCUGCAUCUCAAAGGAGCAUGGGGACCUGAUGAUACCUUCAACUAAAAAAACCAAGUGUGCUCUCGUGUGGUCCUGACGGAAAAGUAGUAUCAACAAGAACCCUCCACUUUUUCGACCAAGUUAUCGUUAUGAGAUCCUUCUGAUGGCUUCUUACUAGGCUAUGCCGCUCCGAAGCAUUGAGAUGACGAAGCGUCGUGGUAGCUGCACCUCUGCCUUCGAAAGAUGAAUCAGUCAUUCCACACUGUGCUUACUGGCUUUGUAUAGAGUCUGGCAAAUCCGACAGACUUGGACUGCCUUUUUCAAGAAAGUUUGAAAUAGCAUCCCUUAUGCACCUGCAUUUCAAUUCCAAUCUGUAUUACAAGAAUGACAGACCACUCAACAGAGAUGAACAUCUGAAAGUGAAAGAGGUGGAAUGAAGAUACGUUAAUCUGUGUCAAAGGUUCUUAGUAUGUGUGCGA